AUAUGUUAAACCUUUAAAUGUUCUAUGACUGACCAGUAGAAUAUGUUAAACCUUUAAAUGUUCUAUGACUGACCAGUAGAAUAUGUUAAACCUUUAAAUGGUCUAUAUGUAAAACAAUCAUGUGGAAUAAUGCAUUCUGUUCUGCACAAAGUCCCAAACAACACACUUGUAUUAUAACAGGCCUGCAUGUUCUGUACAAAAACAGUAUAAUAGCUGCAUAGACAUUCUGUACUGUUGGGCUAUAGACAGAUUAGAUACCAUAUUGAUGUGUGGGGCUAUAUACAGUCAGAUUAGAUACCAUAUUUAUGUGUUGGGCUAUAAUACAGUUCAGAUUUAGAUCAACAUCUCUGUACUGUUGGGCUAUAUACAGUCAGAUUAGAUACCACAUGUAUGUGUUGGGCUAUAUACAGUCAGAUUAGAUACCACAUUUAUGUGUUGGGCUAUAUACAG
rnacentral:lncRNA from 1 species